rnacentral:rRNA from 1 species
AUGCUUUCACAACUUGACUUCAAAAUAUUUGGUUUGGAGACCAUCAAAGAUCAAUAUGUGCAUGAUGCUGAUUUUAAAGAUGUAAUGCAGAAUUGUAAAGAAGGAAGAAUUUGGAACAAGUUUGUCGUUAACGAUGGAUUUGUGUUUCGUGCUAACAAGCUAUGCAUUCCAGCUAGCUCCGUUCGUCUUUUGUUAUUGCAGGAGGCGCAUGGAGGAGGAUUAAUGGGACACUUUGGCGUGAAGAAGACGGAGGACGUACUUGCUACACAUUUCUUUUGGCCAAAGAUGAGACGGGAUGUUGAGCGUUUUAUUGCUCGAUGCACUACAUGUCAAAAAGCUAAGUCACGACUCAAUCCUCAUGGUUUAUAUAUGCCUUUGCCUGUACCUAGUGUUCCUUGGGAGGAUAUAUCUAUGUACUUUGUUUUAGGUUUACCUCGAACAAAGAAGGGGAGGGAUAGCAUAUUUGUUGUCGUGGAUAGAUUCUCGAAAAUGGCACACUUUAUACCAUGUCAUAAAAGCGAUGAUGCUGUUAAUGUUGCUGAUUUGUUCUUUCGUGAAAUUAUUCGCUUGCAUGGUGUGCCAAAUACUAUUGUUUCAGAUCGUGAUACUAAAUUUCUUAGCCACUUUUGGAGAUGUUUAUGGGCUAAGUUGGGGACUAAACUGCUUUUUAGUACUACUUGUCACCCCCAAACUGAUGGACAAACUGAAGUAGUCAAUAGAACGUUGUCUACUAUGCUUAGGGCUGUUUUGAAGAAUAAUAAGAAAAUGUGGGAGGAAUGCUUGCCUCAUAUUGAAUUUGCUUAUAAUCGUUCAUUGCAUUCUACUACUAAGAUGUGUCCUUUUGAAGUUGUGUAUGGUUUUCUACCUCGUGCACCUAUUGAUUUGUUGCCUCUUCCAUCUUCGGAGAAGGUUAAUUUUGAUGCUAAACAACGUGCUGAAUUAAUUUUAAAAAUGCAUGAGUUAACUAAGGAAAACAUUGAGCGUAUGAAUGCUAAAUAUAAACUUGCUGGAGAUAAGGGUAGAAAACAUGUUGUGUUUGCACCUGGAGAUCUUGUUUGGUUACAUUUGCGUAAGGAUAGAUUUCCUGAUUUGCGCAAAUCAAAGCUAAUGCCACGUGCUGAUGGUCCCUUUAAGGUGUUAGAGAAAAUAAAUGAUAAUGCAUAUAAACUUGAGCUGCCUGCAGAUUUUGGGGAAACAGACCCUCGUGGUCAGGUUGAUCGUGCUCCGUCCACGAAAAAGCCACAAAAAAAAUUA